CUUUAUGUUUUCUAUUCUCAUUUCUGGUGACGGUGGUAUUUUGCUGCGUCGGCGGCAUUCACUCUAUCUCUUGGGGGGCUAUCGCUCCGGUCACCCGGUCAUGUCUGUAUUCUAUCCUUCUCUCAUCUAUCAGAUUGAUUUUAUAGUGGUCCGUAAGCCUGUUAUCUCCAUAUUUUGUAACAUCGAACCAGCCUGGCUAGUUGCAGUGGUUGUUUAUCCGUGAUGUCAACUAUCAUACCAUAUUACAUUAUAUUAUAGCCUACGUUCAUUCAUUCAUCCAUUCAUUCAUUUACUCAUUCAUCACCAUGUUCUACUCUCUCCCUUAGGUCACGAUUCCGGCUCCCUACCUACUGUCAUAAUCUAAGUUUUCAGCGCUCUCCUGACCAAGAUGGUGUCUCCUUGUAAGCUGUAGGUGAGUUCACUUCUAAUCUCUAUUUUUGGGGCAGGCUACGCCCGCCUCCAUCUCCGCUGGAGGAUAUGCCGUCCUACCCUGGAGUUCAACGCGAAGACGGGAACCUUCGCCAAACAGAUUCAUGCAUUUUAUAUCAAGUGUAAAUUGUUCGCCAAACGGAUUCAUGCAUUUUUGUAUCAUGUCUAUUAUUCAAUAAAUGUUAAUAACGUUCAAUUGCCUCUCGAGUCUUCAUGGUAGAAAUGGGAGCUUGCGUAAAUUCUACCAGGGAGACUCGAAUUUCUCGGCUGUCAAACUUACUAGGCUAACCAUCCAAUCUCCCUUUUGACAGAUCAUACAUGCGUCAUCAUUGCCCAGGAUCGUCAACCAAUCACAACGCGAGAUUGGGGAUUUCCCCGUUACACAUCACUCAGGCAUCGUUCCCUCUCAGCCAAUGGAUCGCAUUCACGUUUGUUUAAAAAUCAGUCACUCAUUCUGAUCUCUGCUUUCCAGUUAAGCCGACUUUGAAGCCACCACCACCCCUCCGUCCACCGUCACCAGUGGUUCCCGUCUGUUAGGGGGCAGGCUACGCCCGCCUCCAUCUCCGCUGGAGGAUAUGCCGUCCUACCCUGGAGUUCAACGCGAAGACGGGAACCUUCGCCAAACAGAUUCAUGCAUUUUAUAUCAAGUGUAAAUUGUUCGCCAAACGGAUUCAUGCAUUUUUGUAUCAUGUCUAUUAUUCAAUAAAUGUUAAUAACGUUCAAUUGCCUCUCGAGUCUUCAUGGUAGAAAUGGGAGCUUGCGUAAAUUCUACCAGGGAGACUCGAAUUUCUCGGCUGUCAAACUUACUAGGCUAACCAUCCAAUCUCCCUUUUGACAGAUCAUACAUGCGUCAUCAUUGCCCAGGAUCGUCAACCAAUCACAACGCGAGAUUGGGGAUUUCCCCGUUACACAUCACUCAGGCAUCGUUCCCUCUCAGCCAAUGGAUCGCAUUCACGUUUGUUUAAAAAUCAGUCACUCAUUCUGAUCUCUGCUUUCCAGUUAAGCCGACUUUGAAGCCACCACCACCCCUCCGUCCACCGUCACCAGUGGUUCCCGUCUGUUAGGGGGCAGGCUACGCCCGCCUCCAUCUCCGCUGGAGGAUAUGCCGUCCUACCCUGGAGUUCAACGCGAAGACGGGAACCUUCGCCAAACAGAUUCAUGCAUUUUAUAUCAAGUGUAAAUUGUUCGCCAAACGGAUUCAUGCAUUUUUGUAUCAUGUCUAUUAUUCAAUAAAUGUUAAUAACGUUCAA